UGUGGUUUGUCGCGUCUGCUGUGAAAACCUCUCGCUCAACGGGGGGCCUGCAGUGGGUACGGGCAGACUAGAGUGCAGUAGAGGAGUCUGGAAUUCCUGGUGUAGCGGUGGAAUGCGCAGAUAUCAGGAGGAACACCGGUGGCGAAGGCGGGACUCUGGGCUGUUACUGACGCUGAGGAGCGAAAGCAUGGGGAGCGAACAGGAUUAGAUACCCUGGUAGUCCAUGCCGUAAACGUUGGGCACUAGGUGUGGGGUCCAUUCCACGGAUUCCGUGCCGUAGCUAACGCAUUAAGUGCCCCGCCUGGGGAGUACGGCCGCAAGGCUAAAACUCAAAGGAAUUGACGGGGGCCCGCACAAGCGGCGGAGCAUGCGGAUUAAUUCGAUGCAACGCGAAGAACCUUACCAAGGCUUGACAUACACCGGUAACGGCCAGAGAUGGUCGCCCCCUUGUGGUCGGUGUACAGGUGGUGCAUGGUUGUCGUCAGCUCGUGUCGUGAGAUGUUGGGUUAAGUCCCGCAACGAGCGCAACCCUCGUCCUAUGUUGCCAGCACGUGAUGGUGGGAACUCAUGGGAGACUGCUUUUUGUCAACUCGGAGGAAGGUGGGGAUGACGUCAAAUCAUCAUGCCCCUUAUGUCUUGGGCUUCACGCAUGCUACAAUGGCCGGUACAAAGGGCUGCGAUACCGCGAGGUGGAGCGAAUCCCAGAAAGCCGGUCUCAGUUCGGAUCGUAGUCUGCAACUCGACUACGUGAAGUCGGAGUCGCUAGUAAUCGCAGAUCAGCAAUGCUGCGGUGAAUACGUUCCGGCCUUGUACACACCGCCCGUCAAGUCACGAAAGUUGGUAACACCCGAAGCCGGUGGCCUAACCCCCUUGUGGGGAGGGAGCCGUCGAAGGUGGGACUGGCGAUUGGGACUAAGUCGUAACAAGGUAGCCCGUA
rnacentral:rRNA from 1 species